rnacentral:lncRNA from 1 species
AUGGCUGAGAAAUGAUGGAGGAAGCGAGUGAGACUGAAGAGAUGAAGAAACUGAGGCACACAGAGAGAGACCCGGACGUGGCAUUCCCAGCAGUACUCAGAAAAGGAAGAAAGUACCGGAUUCCACACUGGGAUUGAUAUGUGUGGGACAAAGGUAGCUGGUUCAGAAAUUGGAGCUGAAAACCUUGAGAAGAGGUCCCUUGGAAGUGGCAGCAAUCUGGAGGAGAGCUUUGGGUUUCCAAAGGCCACAGAAUGGGUGGGAGAAGCCAUUGAAAUGGCUGCAGACUUAAUUGGACUAAUGACCCAUUGCUGUUAUGCACAACACUCUGUUAUUCACAGAAAAUUGACAAAGCCGUGGAAACGGUCCACAAAUAUGAACCCAGGCACAAAGGCUUCUGCUCUAGAACUCCCUUCUUCUUACUCCUGAAAUGUUGGAUGAUGCUAUGGGAAACAGAUGAGUUUGUCCAGGGAACCAUGUGGAGUACGAACAGAGGGAAGGCAAGAAAGGAACUCGUCAAACGGAUCGAAGAUAAGAGAUGGAUGGGCCCGGGACAUCUUCCCCAGUGGCUCUUGUCCACGGGACACCUGGCUUGUACCCACAGAAAGUUGGCUUCCAGCCAUGCUUGAGUGAGAACAGUGAGGGCCCUUGCCUUCCUACAACAGGCUGUCUCUGACAGAAGAAUACAGUUCAUCAAAAGUGUCUGCAGGUUGUCAAACUCAGAGAGGUUUGGGGACCCUCUGAGGCUGUCGUGGUCAACAAGAAGAUUUUCUGUUGGGCUUUUCCAUCACUCACCCUGAGGAAAUAAUCACUCACUACAUUCUGCAUGUUCUCAUGAUAGAGUUCUCCAUUUGAGAGAAAAGAGCCAUUUUAUCAAAGGACAAUAUAGCCCUUCUCUGGGUCCACGUAGCUUCCAUUAUCAGACCAUAAUAAAUCAUAUUUAUGUUCCCAGUUAAUAAGACUGAUUACAACACAGGUUCCAGACAUGGGAAAAGCAAAGCAGGUGAAAAGAUGUUUUAAUGAAAAUAUGAUAAGAAAACAGCUUCUUGUGAACAUUCUGUGCUAUUAUUUGUAAUGAUUACAGACAAUUUUUGAUGCAUCUUGUUUAGCAAUGGUUUAAGCUGCAUAAAUUGGCUCACUGGUAGAUAAGUAAAAAUGAUAAGAAAAAAUCAUGAAAUCUUCUUAUGUUGUCUAGAAUCAUUAUGUACAUAACAAGGGCAAAAUGGGUUUAAUGUAUAUGCUGGGGAUGGAGG